GGAGACACAGGCGGAGGUGUAACAGGCAGAGGUGACUGUAGCUGCUGAAAGGAGAAGUGCCACAGAAGCUUCAUGAGAAGCGGCAUCCCCAGAUCGUCACUCAGAAAAUGGCCGGAAAGUCCCAAGCGGACCUUCCAGCAUCGGACCACCCCGAGACAAUUGCCAUGAAGGCUGAAGCAAGCAUGAACUAUCACAUCUGUGUAGACGAAAUCUACACCAGGGAACAGAAGGUGGACCAUGCGUACAGGUUCGGUACGCUGGUGUGCGAAAAGACCAUCCACUACACCGAGCGGGAGAAGGCACACAGAAAACAAGUGGAAUUCCUUCGGAGGGAGGUUGAAAGACGUGGCAAAAUUAUCCACCAAUUGGAACUGGACCUGGCGGCAUCCGAGGCCAGCUUGUCUGCCUCGCAGACAAAUCUGGACGCCACACAAAAUGUUAAAAAAAAAUGCAGAUUACCCAACAUGUGAAAACUCAUUUAUUACCAACGCAACCAACCGACUCAUUUAUUAACCUAGCUUACAAAAUGUGCAUCCCAAUCCAAAGGAUGAUUACAAAUGGAAUAUUAACAUUUCUUUCCUUCAUAUCUAGAACUGGAUGACCUCCAAUUUAUCAACGCCUCCCAAGAACACGACAACCAGAACCGCACAACCGCCUCCCAAGAUACGGAUUCGUCCCAGCCAUUGUGUUCGACAAUGAUUGACGACAUGGACGAGAACGGGAACGGAGAUACAUUUUGCACUACCAGGCCCCUGAAAACACUCCAGGCCCCUGUAAAACGAAGAUAUUGUAAAUAGUGUGAUUUUUUUUAUAUAGUGUGGUGUUGUAAAUAGUGUGUUUUUUUUAUUUGUAUACUCCAACAAAAACUCAAACAUCUGAUAUUGUUUCAUAUUUACACAAAUUGCCCAUGCAAAAAGGAAUGUUUCACAAUUCGUGUUCUUUUCUGUACUUGUGUGCCUGUGCUGGAACCGUCAAAUAUCCCAGGAUGCAUUUCGCAUAGGCUAUAUAGGGACAUUUUAAAAGUAUAACAAAGAUGGAGGCCUAUUAUUUACAUACUAUUUUAAAAUUAAAGAGGGGUGGACAUUUUAAAAGAAUAACACAGAUGGAGGCCUAUUAUUUACACACUAUUUUAAAAUGAAAGAGGGGUUUUGCUUUAUAUAAUUUGUUUAAGCAACUGAUUGUUUAUAUGUAGGGUUGCUUGCCGUGUGAAUACCAGGGUUCGUACAGAUGCUUGAAAGUCGGGAAAAUGCUUGAUUUUAACCAUAGUGUUUUCAAGGUUUGAAAUGUGCUUGAAAUUUGAACACUGCUGGAAAAUGCUUGAUUUUCUCUAUAUUGAUCAGUGUUGUAUUUUAACAAAUAGGCUACAAAAUAUUUUUAUUCUGUACAUUUUUUAAAAAUUAAGUCGGAAUGUUUUUUUCUCCGCCGUCUGCUCCCCGUGUUUUCUUUCCAUGCGCAUGCGCCUCACAUGGCGAUCACUUCAGCAAUUAUCCAGAACCACGUCGCUGCUCACAAGGACCUAUCGCUCCCGAAACCACCAUGCCAGGUUGCCGUUUCAAUGCUCA
ensembl:lncRNA